rnacentral:rRNA from 1 species
UCUUCGGAUCUAGUGGCAGACGGGUGAGUAACGCGUGGGAACCUGCCCAGUAGUAGAGGACAACUUGGGGAAACUUAAGCUAAUACUUUAUACGUCCUUCGGGAGAAAGCUUUAUGCGCUAUUGGAUGGGCCCGCGUUAGAUUAGUUUGUUGGUGAGGUAAUGGCUCACCAAGACUGCGAUCUAUAGCUGGUCUGAGAGGAUGAUCAGCCACACUGGGACUGAGACACGGCCCAGACUCCUACGGGAGGCAGCAGUGGGGAAUAUUGGACAAUGGGGGCAACCCUGAUCCAGCGAUGCCGCGUGAGUGAUGAAGGCCCUAGGGUUGUAAAACUCUUUCGUCAGGGAAGAUAAUGACGGUACCUGAAGAAGAAGAUCCGGCUAACUCCGUGCCAGCAGCCGCGGUAAUACGGAGGGAUCUAGCGUUAUUCGGAAUUACUGGGCGUAAAGCGAGCGUAGGCGGAUUUGUAAGUUGGAGGUGAAAUCCCAGAGCUUAACUCUGGAACUGCCUUCAAAACUACAUUUCUUGAGUUUGGUAGAGGAGAGUGGAAUUCCUAGUGUAGAGGUGAAAUUCGUAGAUAUUAGGAGGAACACCAGUGGCGAAGGCGACUCUCUGGGCCAAUACUGACGCUGAGGUUCGAAAGCAUGGGUAGCGAACAGGAUUAGAUACCCUGGUAGUCCAUGCAGUAAACGAUGAGUGCUAGAUGUUGGGAAUUUAAAUUUCCAGUAUCGCAGUUAACGCGUUAAGCACUCCGCCUGGGAAGUACGGCCGCAAGGCUAAAACUCAAAUGAAUUGACGGGGACCCGCACAAGCGGUGGAUCAUGUGGUUUAAUUCGAAGAUACGCGAAGAACCUUACCGGCCCUUGACAUACCAAUCGCGGACUUAAGAGAUUAAGUCUUUCACUUCGGGUGGAUU